UACGAAGGGGGCGAGCGUUGUUCGGAUUUACUGGGCGUAAAGGGCGCGCAGGCGGCGCAUUUUGUCAGGCGUGAAAGCCCCGGGCUUAACCUGGGAACUGCGUUUGAUACGGAUGGGCUAGAGUUCGGGAGAGGAGAGUGGAAUUCCCAGUGUAGAGGUGAAAUUCGUAGAUAUUGGGAAGAACACCGGUGGCGAAGGCGGCUCACUGGACUGGUAUUGACGCUGAUGUGCGAAAGCGUGGGGAGCAAACAGG
rnacentral:rRNA from 1 species